GGGCGCUUAGCUCAGGGGGAGAGCACUUCCUUGACACGGAAGGGGUCGUUGGUUCAAAUCCAACAGUGCCCACCA
rnacentral:tRNA from 2 species